GCACAAGCUUUGAUAUAUCUCCCCCGAUAUGCUUGCAGACUAUCACAAUCUGGAGAUGGAGUUGCCAGAAGUCCUCUAAAAAUUGUACGGGACUUUCGGCAACUCAGUCUCCAGAUCACAAUAGUCUGCAAUCAAGUGAUGGGAUCAGAAUUGACCCAAUAUAUAUAUUUAUUCAUAUCCUGCAGCAAAGAGCACCAUUAGAGUUUCAGCUCUCCAUGAGUGGGUGGGGAAUAGCUAGUAUGAUGUCUCGUAUACCCUGCAUAAACACAGAAGAAGAUGCUACUUUUCAAUAUCUUUAUACACACCCUCACAAGCAGCGGCAGCAUAGAGGACAAUAUAGAGUAGUACUGAGCAGCGUAAGCUGGGAAUCAAGGACGGAGUAAAUGAUGAGUUUACAAGGGUGGGGAAAACAGAAAAGAAGCCUGAAAUGUGAAGAAAUAACAUUUUUUUAUGCUAAAAUGAAUAACACUGUUAGAUUGACCUGUGCUGUUGCAAAACUUUUGAAAUGACAGUGACCAUUUAAACUUUAUUAACAUAAAAUAAACAAAAACUGUGAGUGCUAAAACGGAAAAAGCCAGGCAAGACAUGGAUUAGGCAUGUAUGGUCCAAGUGUUAUCCAACCACUGUGUGUCUCCAGCUGUUGCAAAACUAAAAACUCCCAAACUACAACUCCCAACCACUGGGCAUACUGGGAGUUUUGCAACAGCUGGAGGCAAGCUGGGAAGCACCGAUUUAGGUAGAGAUACAAACCCAUUCAUUUGUAUCCAGCUGGACAUUUUCCAGUUUCUACAA